rnacentral:rRNA from 1 species
CUACGGGAGGCUGCAGUGAGGAAUAUUGCACAAUGGGGGGAACCCUGAUGCAGCAACGCCGCGUGGAGGAUGACGCAUUUCGGUGUGUAAACUCCUUUUAUAUGUCAAGAAAAUGACGGUAGCAUAUGAAUAAGCACCGGCUAACUCCGUGCCAGCAGCCGCGGUAAUACGGAGGGUGCAAGCGUUACUCGGAAUCACUGUGCGUAAAGGACGCGUAGGCGGGUUGGAAAGUCAGGUGUGAAAUCCUACAGCUUAACUGUAGAACUGCACUUGAAACUUCUAAACUAGAGUAUGGGAGGGGGAGAUGGAAUUAGUGGUGUAGGGGUAAAAUCCGUAGAUAUCACUAGGAAUACCUAAAGCGAAGGCGAUCUCCUGGAACAUUACUGACGCUAAGGCGUGAAAGCGUGGGGAGCAAACAGGAUUAGAUACCCUUGUAGUC